GAGUAUGUGAUUCGUGGACAAUACUCAGUUAAAUCGGACAUGUUCAGUUUCAGCGUUCUUGUUAUAGAGAUCAUAACGGGCCGGAGAAACAGCGGGCGUAACUUUUCAGGGCAGAAUGAAGAUACCUUGAGCAUUGUAUGGAGCCACUGGACCCAAGGAACGAUUGCAGAGGUGGUGGAUUACUCCUUGGGCAGAAACUACCCAGCGGCCGAGGUUCUCAAGUGCGUACAUAUUGGUUUCCUGUGCCUUCAAGAGAACCCGGUAGAUCGACCUACCAUGUCCGAGGUCAGGGUGAUGCUCAAUAGCGAUACCACCAGUUCUCUGCCUGCUGCCGCAAGACCAGCAUUUUUGGCAGAAGCAAGUUCAGGUUUGUCUCACAGUACGUUUGUGCCCUGA
rnacentral:rRNA from 1 species